UACAGAGGUCCCAAGCGUUGUUCGGAUUCACUGGGCGUAAAGCGUGCGCAGGCGGUUUUGUAAGCCAGAUGUGAAAUCCCCGGGCUUAACCUGGGAAUGGCAUUUGGGACUGCAAGGCUGGAGUGUGGCAGAGGAGACUGGAAUUCCUGGUGUAGCAGUGAAAUGCGUAGAUAUCAGGAGGAAUACCGAUGGCGAAGGCAGGUCUCUGGGCUGACACUGACGCUCAUGCACGAAAGCGUGGGGAGCAAACAGG
rnacentral:rRNA from 1 species